UCGGUGGCCUGUCAUUGCUCCGUCCUUAUUCCCCAGCCCUUGCAGAAAGGGGAGGUGAAGGCGACGAAAACCCUCGCGUGGAGCCGGCUUCUCCUUUCCUCGCCUGCGCGAUCGUCGCCGGCUGUCUCCUCUCCUCCUCCGCCGUCGACGACCGGAUCCUCGUCCUCGGCGGAUUUAGCCAGGUUCAUGUCUUCUCUUUGUCUUACCUCUCCGUCAAUUCCUUUUUCUUUUUCUCUUUGCCUAGUCGAGGUUCCUGUGUAGUCGAUUUUGGUGCUCGGCGGGGCAAAGUGUGAGUUCUUAGAGCUGAGCGUUCUAAUCCAAGAGCCCUUCGCCGCCGUUUGUGAGUUCUUGUUCUUGCCCUACGUGAGCUGGGCGCGCGCCUUCUGAAAAUUAAGCGCGGAAAUUUCUCGGGUUACUAGGUUUUAGAUGCUCCGGCUCUGGGAAUUAUUGGAGUUAGGCUUUGCAAAUUUGCAGUUAACAAGGCUGCAUGCUUGGGUAAACAGGGCUUCGUAUUGUUCCCCCAACUGCUUGUGGUUUUCAAGCGGAAGGACUUCGUGAUGAUGCUCUCAAUCUCAUACGUGCUCACUCAUUCUAGGCUUUGAUGUGUGAAUUUGGUUAGUAAUUGGGGUGCUCCUUGGCAACCGGAGCCCUAGGAGCUAAUUAGGUCUAUUGCAAUCUUGCGAGGCUUAGAUACGCGGAAUCGAGAACAGAGCGUUGAUGAACGCUUCAGCGUGUCAUGUGUUCUUGCAGAAGUUGUAGCUAGUAAUGCCCUGCUUCAGUAUUUUCUGAUGAGUGACUUUUGGGGGUAUUAAGUUGAAUACCAAAAGGUUCUUGUUAGGCUUGGUGUCUCACCCUGUUCUUCUUUGCAUAUCUGGUAUAUGCCUGCAAUUUACACACAGCUUAACACUAUGAAUGCUGAAGUGUGUUCUCUUGGAACUCGUAAUGCACUCCCCUAUUCUUCAUUGUAUAUCUGGUGUAUGCUUGCAAUUUACAACACAGCCUUAACAUUACGAAUGCUUAAUUUAUGAAACUUUUUAAAAGCUAUCCCUGCAUGAGCUGUUUCACUGAGUUAUUUUUUUUUCUUGAUGCUUCAUUUCUUAUAAUCUUCUGCCUAUAGUUUGUUACUCCCCCCCCCCCCCCCAACACCCUUUACUAUAUGUUUGCUUGUCUACUUUGGUGGCUGAGUUGUUUCUGAAUUUUCACUUCAUAUCUAUGGUCUUUGCUAGUUUGCCAUUUGAAGAUCAGUGCAUGCAUAACUAUGUUAUCCAUGUUUUUCAAUUCCAAACAAUCAUCCAAAUUUCUUUUGUACUAGAACCCCUAAACUCUCCAUAUUUGGUUCAUGGUACCUUCUUAAUUUCCAAAAUAACAAAUUUCACCACCUGAAGUACAAUUUAUUUAGGAAUUUACAAAAUCUACGUUGUAAUCUAAAAAGUGUCAGGGCAAACAAUGUGCAGGGCAAAUCUUAAAGGGCUUUAUAUUAGUAUGCUUUAACAUAAAACAGGGAUGGUCCAUAUUCCCCAUAUGAGAUUUGGUCAUGAAACAGAGACUUUGCAUAGGGAUCAGAAGGUACUCGUGAAACUGGGAUAAGGGAACAAAAGAAGCUGCACAACAUGUAUUCCCUUUUCUAUAUUCCCAUUGUGAUAAGGCUGAUACCGUAUGACACCAGCUCUACUAACUUGAUAUAUUUCUAUAGCAUCAAUAAUGGAGCUGCUAGCCCAAACACCUGAUUUUACAAUGUAUGACUAAUGAUGUUUUAGGGCUGCUACAUCAUUCAUAAUCCUUUUUCCUAUGAUUGACUAUUCUCUAAAUUAUUUUAAUUAAACUUCAGUUUUGCUCUCGACCUUCAUGUAUGUUGUGUAGUUCAAAUCUACAAAGUAAUUGGAGUUUGUCAUUUGUAGACCAACUGCAUGCCACAUCCAAAUAUCUUAACUUCUCUGUAUUUGGUUUAUGGUGCCACCUCAAUUUCGUAUGUUUGUUUCUAAGUUAAUAACAGGGGUGCUCUCUGAGAUUUGGUUAUGAAAUAGAGUUAAACUAUGGAUCCUUAUUCCUAAGACACUGGUACAUGUAUGACACCAAUUCUACUAGUUGAUCUUUGUAUAUAGUAUUAAUGAAUCUACGAGCUCAAGCACCUGAAUUCACACAUUAGAUUGAUAUGAUUAUCAGUAGGUAUAAUGUGAAUUUGAAUAAAAAAGCUCUAGAGAUCUUUUUUCUUGUUUCUUCAUUUUAAGCUUUUGCCUAGUACAUAUUUCCAGAAAUACAAAACAAGGAGCUGAUUUUAAUAGCAUCUUGGCCUUUAUUAUGAUGUUUGAUGAAAAUAAUAAAAUAUUUUUCUAUCUUAUACAGUUCAUAAAGUUGACUAUUUUUGUUACUAGAAAAUACAAUGUGAUGUGUGCCCCAGUUAAAUUUUUAUGAUAGUUUUUUAUCCAAAUUAAUUGUCGUGUUUUCAAUCUUGUGCCAGUUAAUACAUGAUAAUGUUCACCGCAUUACUACCCAACCAACUGUAGUUGAAGUUUAUAGGUGUUAAUUUAUUUUAAACAUGGAGCUUGGUAGCAUUUUAACAUAGUUAUUUGUCUUUCAGUGUCCGCCUCUAUUAUAUUAUUUUAAGUCGAAUCACAAACCUACAUUACAAAUUUUAGGAAUUCUUCUGAGCAUUUGGCAUCUUUGGUGUUGUCAAGACAGCUAUGACUUAGUGUUGGCGUGGAGUUCGAUUUCAGCCUACUCUUUGUUCACUGUUUCUGUGUCAUGUGAAGUUCAUCUUAGGUACUACCAUUGAUGAUUUAUUUUUUCUGCCGCUGCAUUAUGUAUAUAAGUUGGUUCGUUGGUUGCAUAGCAAGUAACAGUUUGUGUUGUCUUAGGCCCUGUUUGGAGAAGUAUCCCGGGGAUAUUUUGAGGGCUAAAGAAUAUCUAAGGAAAUAUCCCUUGAGCUGUUUGGAUUCAAGCAUUAUUUGGCCUUUAAUGCACUUGCUACCUCCUUAUCUCUCUCUUGCUACUGGAUCUGGGAUGCUAUGCUACAUCGUUGCCCCUGGCUGUGGGCGCCCUACUCCUCCUGCGCCCUACCGCUUACGUUGUAGCACACCUCCAACUGCUGCUCCGGCGGUUGCGCCCGGGUCAGGUUGAUCCGCCGCCACCAGCGGUGUCGUGGCCGCACAGGGCUCCGACGCGACCGUGUAGGACAGCAUCAAGCAAUAGGAGGACAUGCGCCCGAAUGAUGUCGUGGAUCCGAGCUGCAUCUAGGGGCUGAAUCCGCGGAUGGGAGACGGCGGUGGCGCGGCUGGGGGAGGCAGAGGCGGCACUGGUCGGGGAGCCGGCAUGGCUUAGGGGAGCAGUGCGGAAGGGGACCCGGUGCGCGAAUGAGACGAGAGAGAGAGGGUGGGCUCCACUCAAAACAGUUCAAAUAUCAUCCUUUUCGGGGAUAGUUUUUUGGGUGGGCUAUUUGCAAAUAGCUCUUCUAUUUGGCUCCUACUAUUUGGGGUACGCAGUUACAACACAUCCUGGUAAGGUCCCUCAUGAUUCACGAACUUGAUGACCAUAGACCAAGCUCAGAAACAAACUAAUACUAUAAAAUAAAUGCACUUCCGUGCAACACCAAUGAAAAUUUGACGUCUCAUAUUCACUCAAUUGUUACAGAUAUGUACAUGUCAAAAGAUGUGAGGCUUCAAAAAUCCGCCACCUACAAGGCUUAAGGCGCCUGUGCCAGUCUUACAUCUUUUGUUUGGGCCAUUACUAUAAACUGGCCUAGGCCUCUUAGGCUUGUUGAGAAAUUUACAUGAUUUACAUACAUAUCGCUUUGGCACCUGAUCAAAAUCACCAAUACCAGCACACCUAGUGUGCUGCCACACAUGGCAAGAGUCACAAGACAGCAUUCUCUCACCAUCAUCAUCCGUGGCUCCACAAGAGCAACUGACUGUCCAUUUGUCCACGCCUCUCUCCAUCCGGUAAAUUCCAACCCUGUGUUCACCCCCAGCACACUUGCCUUGGAUGCGAACAGUCCCAUUUGCUCCAAAUAAGAGUUUGACUUGAGUUGACUCACUUGCUAUUCCAAAAUCAAGAAGCUGGUUGGCUACAAAAGUCUGUAACAUCAGAUAGAUGUCACGAAAUGUCUUUGUUGCCUCCAUCUUCAGAUCAGCAACAGUUGCUGUUUGCGGAAGUGUUAGGAGCUCCUGUGGUAUGGAAGGCGGAUCACCAACCUGGUCUGACAGCUCUACAUGGCACCAAAUGUGCAACAUGGAUGGAUUUUCUGGCAAGAAAUCCUGUUCCAGAUCAUAAUGCUUGGUGAAUUGCUUGCAGUCCAAAAGGAUCAUGGCAGAUCUCUUGGCAUGCUCAUAGUCUUUUUCCGGCUGGUAAGGAUUCAUUGUAUGUGGGUAGAGGAGAACGUCAUACAAGAACUUUAUGUCACGGCGAAGAUGGUCUUGGGUCGGCAUGGAUACAUUGGGCAUCAAGUUGGUUUCAUCCGUAAGCCUGCAAAUAAUUAUUCAGAACUUUCAUGUUGAAACAAGAACACAAAACAAUGCCGCAAGGGUCUUGAGGCAGUAAUCAACCAGCUGAGGUGAACCGAUUGGAUGGGAUAUGGCUGCCUUUAAGGUUCGCAUCGCCACCCACCUUGUCCUAUCGACAGCUCGAAGAACCUUUAGAGCAAUGUCUGUUGCUCUCUUUAUUUCCUCCUCAUCCCAUGUGUCUUGAACAUGGGCAUGUGAUUGUUCUUUUUUAUGCAUUGACCCAUACUGGAUAUGCACCCUCUUGCUGGUGGCAAGCCCCAGCACAUAGAGGAAAAGUUCACGAAUUGUGGUUAGAGGGCGAUUUGAAAGGGAUUGGUAGAAUGAAAUGGUAUCUUGUAGCUGGUUUCGAGGAGAUCGGGAAUGUGGGAAGAAGUGCAAUAAUGGAGUUGAGGAAAGGUUGUCUAUAGCUUUAACGUAUUCUUCUGAUGUGAUUCCAAAGCUUCCUUUGCUGAGUUUGAAUCCCCAUUGGCCAUACCAAGAAUGACCAGUGGUGAUGGCAUGUAAUAUACGGAAGUCCGUUCCAUACUUCUUAGAGACAUCCAUCAAUGAGACCUUUCUGUAAUCAAGUUUUACAUGUCAGUUCAUACUUAAUAGAGACCUCAGUGCAAUUAACUAGAAAACUAAAUUGAGCUCAGGCGAAAUUACAAUUCAUAUUGUAAAUAGCAUUGUAUGAUGUAAUGCAGUUCAUACUUCAUACUUCAUAUCCAAUUCUAGUCAGAUGUGCAUCAUAUUCCAAACUAGCUGUUUUCAUGGUUCAGAGAAAUUGCUGAGGUAUCCUGGAUCUGCAUUCAACAUGUGUCCACAACUCCAGAAUUUUAUAUCUAAAGGGCACCAUUUUACUAAUGUUAUCUUCCAAAGCAAGACGUUCCAGGUCAUGUUGUACUCUUUUUGUUCAGUUCUGUUGAAUGCUGCUGUAGCUGGUUUAAAGCAGCAGCCAAGAAAAUAGUGCAGGAACUUUUCAUGUUACAGUUAAUUUAUGUUCCGGUUUAUGUGAAGCACUGAAGUCUAGUCUAUUAUAUUCCAUAACAAAAAUUUACUGUUCCUGCGUUGCUUGUGCCAAAAACAGAGCGCACUAGGGAAUCUUAACAUCUGCCACUGUCAAUCUGUUUCAUAUUUUGAAAAAAUGGAGAAGCAAAUUGAAAUUUGUCUGAUGCGCACAAUCAAUACAAACUCAUUAGAGGUUGUCAAUCCGCACAAUCAAUACGAAGUCAUUAGAGGUCGUCAAACCCAAUGUCAUGCUGUGUGCUUAAAGGAAAUAAUUGAACCGAGUUGGCUUUACCUGACUCUGAGGUAUCUGCAGAGCCGAUCCCAGAAGUCCAUCAGUUGAAUCCCCGUCAGAAGACUGGAACCACCCUCUCUGCCAUUUAUCCGGACAAGGUGGCCAAACCCAUUGUCAUGAACAAUGCCAUGAAGCAAAUGACGUGGAUUAUCUAACUGCCUAUAAUCCCAAUCUUCCGGAUCAUCAUAAGACAUCCCAUGGUUGCAUGACGGGCACCUGAUUCAUGACGAAGAUGAUCAGGACUAGCAGGCAAUUGUGCCAGAUGGAACACCACCUGCACCUUGAGUUGCUUAUAUGAAACAAGUACACGUUACAGUACUACUUUCCGGUUGUUUGGGAUUAUUGUUGACUACAGGAGUUGGGUUUGAAUUUAUACUGCAGGAAUAGUUGAUUGGUGAUAAUAGAACACAGCUGAUUAGCUUACCUCGUUUCAAACAACUGGGCCAUAAGCCCACAGUGCUUGCAGGUUUUGUAGUCCUGUAUGGCAUAUUCAUUCCGGAUUAUGAAGUGGUACCUCCUCCCACAAACAGGGUGCCUGCUCCAGCCUAUCAAGAAGAGUCAAGACAAAUGCAACAACAUUGAGAUUCUUCGGCCAUAACAAUCACCAGCGCGUUCAAUAGAUUUUGUUUUUCGUUUGGCAUCUGUAAAAGAAAUCGCAAACUUUCAGGUGAACCGGCCUAAUCUUGCUUGGACAAGCUAGGCAGAGAAUGUGUAUGCAGAGUCAUGAGUCCUAUUCUUGAUU